ACCUCAUUGAGACACCCCAGCAAUUGAUUGGCUCCUUUCGGAGUUGCUGUUCCAGGCUGCUUAGCUGCGCUGGAGUAACACAAAGGAGCUGGCUCACAAGAUAUCAACUGUAAAGAUGGGAGACAUACAACAAACAUGGAAUAAUGGUCUGGUGACCCCCCGGGAUGACCCAAAAGGAAAUGAACCGGUCAAGAGGGCACCUGGCAUAAGGAAGAGCCUCAAAGGCAGUUUGGUUUUGCUCACUCGCCCAUCCUAUGGAAGAGACCGGCUAGCUGUACAGUUGUCCUGCUGACUCUCCUCAGGGAGGUAGUUCCUGCCUACAUGCAUCGCUGUGGGGGUUCCCCCUCCACCAACAGGCCAGGUCCUUACAUAUGUGUGAAUCCUUACCAAACACGCUGCGUGGUCCUGCUUCUGUGUGUUUCGAUGACUGUGGCUUAAUCCUACACUGUAGCUCUGUCUGUCGCCUCUUCUGUGGCUCAGUACCCAGAGAUCUGCGGAGCUGUCUCUUAGCUGCUUCUGACUGUAUGGAAUCCACCAGAAUGCACUUCUCUUACUCAUGCACUUCCGCAGUGGAGGACAUCUAAGUGUCCUCCACACCUGUGGUACCCAGAAGCACCACUGUAAUAGCACCAUGAGCAUCAGUAUCCUUUAUUCUGUGUGAGGGGGAUCUGGGAUGGAUGUUGGAGGGUGGGGCUUGUUGGGUCACUGUGAUGGCUAAUUUUUACUGUCAGCUUGAGAUGCUUGGGAAGAGGAAACUUCAGUUGAAGAAUUGCCUCCUGGUCUUUUGGGUUGUCUGCAGCACAAUUUUUUUUUUUUUUUUUGACUGCUAAUUGAGAAGGAGAACCCAGCCUACGAUCGGCAUUGUGAUUCCGGGGCAAGUGAGCCUGGGCUAUACAAGAAAGGUAGCUAAAUGUGAACCAGGGUGCAAGCAGUGUUCCUCCAUGAUUUCUGCUUCAAUCUCCUGCCCUGCUUGAGUUCCUGCCCUGACUUCCGUCAACGAUGGACUAUAAACCGGACAGCUGAGCCACGAGGGUCCAGAGCCACAGGCUUUGGAGAAACCGGCCUCAGUCCCUGGGGACAUCCUCACUAUUCCUGCCCAAGGCAAGUAAGUAGCCAGCUGGUAGUUGAGGUGAGCAAGGCCUAGGAUGAAGGAAGCCUUACCUGACCUGGAGUGGGUGGCCAGAGUAGGAGUGGGGGGUAGAGUGGGGUGGAAGGGGGUGGUUAGAGUGGGUGGUAAGAGUGGGAGGUAAGAUGGAAUGUAGGGGGUGUGACCAUGAAGGCAGGAGAUGGGUGAGAACACAGGUCACUGAAAGAGCCAGUCCAGUUUGGUGGCAUGCAGACGAAGUCCCAGCUACAGGGACAGUGGCUCGGCUGCCUGUGCUUAUAAGCUCAAAGGCAGCCUUGGCAACGUUGGUGAGCUCAAACAGCAACAGGGAAAACCACAGAAGAAGCAGUGGAGAAACUGAGAGAGUAGUAACUUUGCAGAAGCCUCCAUGCAGGAGUCUAAACACCAUGGUUGUUGCAGGAACCAUGCUCACCUGCUUUCCCUUUGAGUGAGGAAAACUAAGGUUCAUUUUCCUGAAAAUCAAAGCCAAGAGCUUCCAAAUAGAUCCAGUCAGCCCUCUCCAUUUCCCAGGAGCCUUCGAGUUCCAGCUCGGGGGCACAGUUCUUACAGGGGACUUUCAAGCAAGUGACACUGUAGAUAGGAACACCCCAAUGCCCAGACGACCCACCCGACCCACCUGGAAGCUUUCCUCCUCACAUCAGAGACACACUGUGGCCCCGGGUGAGGAGACAAGCAGAGCCUCUGCUGAUUUACAUAUUCUGCAUAACUUUGCAUAAAGCAUUGACAAGUCUCAGAGCCUGUGCAAGAAAACUAAUUAGAGGGGCACCUUGUCCUAAGAGGAGAGGGGAUAUGUUUGUAUCUCAGCUGCUUGCUCGGUACAGCUGUAGGAGCUGGCUUGUGGUUAUAAAACUGGCUGGCUUGGAGGCUGGCCUUGAACUUGCUAUAUAACCAAGGAUAACCCUGGGCUUCUGAUCCUCCUAUCUCUGCCAUUAAGUUCUGGCAUGACAGAUGAGUACCACCAGCCAGGUUUACGAGGUACUGGGAAUCAUGCAUGCUAAGCUCUCUCUACCAAGGGAGGGAGGGAGGGAGGAGUGGAGAGAUGAUGAGCCAAGUCUUGUGGGUCCGGCUGUCCAAUAUGCUUGGCACAAAAUCCAGGACACUUUUAGUACUCAGUGAACAUGUAGGUAUUGAGUGAGUCUGACCCACGAACAGCCGAAUUUCCCACCUGAUCUACUUUACAUUCUAUGAAUUUGUUUUGCACAUGUGUACAAGUGUGAGUCUGGAGCUGGUGUUCACAUGCCAUAGUGAAUAUGUAGAGGUCAGAGGACACGUUUUGGGCACGGGACUUCUCCUUCCACCAUGUGGGACAAAGAAAUCAAUCUCAGGUGGCCAGCCUUGGGGGGCAGCAAGCAUCUGUGUCCUCUGAGCCAUCUCACCAGCUGCCUGAUAUUAAUGCCAGCAAUGUCUCUCUCGCUUUCAGCCAGUUCUUGGUAGGUGUUUACUUUGCAUAGGAAAUGGCCCCUAUUCCUACGUCACCAGGGAAACCGCUGGUCUCCAAAAGAUUGUCCUCCCCAAAAGGUCAUCCCCCAUGGAGAAGCUCAUGAGGCAAAAUUUUGCACACAAACUAAAGACAGAAACCAGUGAGAAGCCGAGGCAGACAAGGUAUAGGACUCUGUAGGGCUGGGACAUUUUCUUAUUUCCUUCUAGACUUUUCCCAAACUGCCUCCCCACACCCUUUGGACGUAGAUUUGGGACAUCCCCUGGUUCUUUUAUUACUCUGCACAAGGCCUUCGAGGACAAAGGGGGCCUGGGGUUCUGAAGAUCGAUGCUGCUCCAAUACUCUCCCCCUGCGGCAAGCUCCUGACACAUCUUCUCCACAAGUAAUAAUUAGAGACAGAAAUAUCUGACCUACUUACGACUCCACAAAUACACACAUUUGGUGGCUUCCACAUCAACUUGGGGGCCGCCAGAGGAGGCUGGCUGAGAACAGUUUUGUUUUAUUGUUAACCUGGCGCUUCUCAUUCCUGCCCACCUUCCCUCCUCUUCUCCUCCAUCCCUCAGCUGCCUCCUCCCUGACCAGGUACAUUUUGGGGACCAGAGUGGUUACUUUUACGGCUAGUUCCCAUGAGCAGAGGGGUUUAGGUGUCUGUCUUUAGUAGGAUGGGUUCUACAGAGAACCACAGGUAUUCCAGGCUGGACUCAAACUCACUAUGUAGUCAAGGGUGACCUUGAAUUUCCUGCCUCCACCCCUCAAGUGCUGGGAUUACAGGCAAGUGUCUCAUCCUGCAGGUUUUAUGCCUCAAUGGGACUCAAACCCUGGGUUUCAUGUGUGCUAGGCAGGCACGGUCUAGGAGGCUCCCCCAGCCUUGUACUAAGCCCAUCCUCACUUGGUCAAGUCUGAGCUUCCCACGUAUCACCCACAUGCCUCCCCCUUAUCACCAGAAUGAGACUGAGUGUUGAUGACAAUGGCAGAGACUGCAUGCCUCCUGCCGAGCCAUGAAGUCACUCCACACAAAGGAGUGUCAAGAAGGCACCCGGACCUUAAAGAAAGUGGGGUUGGUGAAACAUGUAGCAAUGAGUAGGUAAAUUAACGUGGUAGAAGAUGGGGACCUUCAUCUGGUUAGAGGACAUCAGAGAGGGUUUGAAGAAGCUGUGCACCUAAGCCCUGUAUCAUUAGUCUCUUCCAGGUGAUGAAUGAAAAGCCACUGUCACCCAAAGAGCAACUGGGGCAAAGGCACAGAGGGGGUUCCGAACCUCUCUCUAUGGAGAACAGGGCAACUCACAUCAUGGCUGCCAGGAAGCAGAGAAGAAUCCAGGAAAGGACCAAGGCAAGAGACAGCCCCAAGGACACCCAUGACAACUGCUGCCUAAGGCCUCAGCCUGCUCUUCCCUUCCCCCAAUAAUGCUCUCCUAUAAUGAAGCCAUGAGCAGGCUGAUCCAUUGAUCUAGUCAGAGUCUUCAUGGUCUAAUCCUCUCUAGAAAUGCUCCGAGAUACCCCAGUGUUAUAUUUUACUAGAUGCUCCUGAACAUCUCUUAACCAAUAAAGGUGACACUCAAGAUUAGCCAGCACACCCUGCUAAUAGGAUCUUGGCAUACCAGGUGGACGGUAGGGUUUGUGGUGACCCGCGUCUGCUCUGCCACAGUGCUCGGGCCACUCAGGGAGGUAGGAUGUGGGAAGUUUUGAUUGCAUGUACUCCACACCAACGCCUGGCGGGUGUCAGGCUAUGGGAAGCUGGGGGACACUGCUCUGGGAGUGGGGGAGCACAGUCUGAGGUCCUGAGGACAGCUGGAGCUGGGUCAGGGGUCCCCAGGCCUGCAGGGAGGCCAGGGCUGCCUGGUUCUCAGGAUCUUGGGCACCAGCUGGGGUCGAAGGGAAAAGAGGGGAGAGCUCUGGCUGGGCCCUGCCGGGAGGAGAGUACUGGUUUGUUCGGUUGGUGGCUUGGCUUGGUGGAGGUCAUGACUAGGAACACUGAGAAGACUUCUGUGGGAGAUUAGGUGGCCGGCUCUUUAGACAAAGGGUUGUUCCAUUGCUCUCCAUGGCGGAUCCCAAUGAAAAAAGACAGUC